UCAGCUCCAACACGCACGCCUCCUCCCCCUGCCCCAUCCCACGGAGACUUCUCUGGUGUUCGUUUCCCCAGAUGCUCCCAAACUUCACAGAAAAGGGACAAGACUAAUGCUGCCACCACUUUCCCCCCCACCCCUCUCCAGCAGUGGACUACAGCCAGCUUCUCCUUCCUGCUCCAGCCCCAGCAUAUGGCCCGAGCAGUUGUCCUGAGAACGCAGUUCAUCACAUGGAGAUGUUGACUUCUGACAGAGGCCAUUGUUUCCUGUGUCGCUUGUAAAUAUCCUAGAGGUGCAACGAAAAUGGAGUUGUAUUUUCGAAACUUUGAAGACCUGUUGGAAUAGAGGGUGCUCCUCCAAACCUUCUGUAAGGUCCAUGAGAGGUGAAAGAGAAUGUUGCCAUCGUGGUCGGGGGACAGCAUCGAAGACCCAUGCCUGUACGAUAAGAGACACACAGACGGAGACCACAUGGCAGGGUGGAGAAUGAACAGAAGUUGAAUGGUCCAUGGAGUUGAGGCCUUUUGAAAAAAUCAAGAUCUAAAAUAAAAUGGGCAUUUACUCUUCUUGUAAAUACCUUCUUAUGGAAGAAAUAGUAGUUCAAGGAUUUCUCAAAGUCAUUUCUUGGACAAAAAACGGGAAGGGAAUAAGCUUAUACAUCUUCAGCGUCACACAUGGUCACAGGUUCAGAAGGAAAUGCGCUCAUAUCUGGGGAACCGAGGCUUCAUCACCAGGCAGCUGAGAGAGGGGAUUGUGUUCACUUUUCACGGACCACUCGAAAUAGAAUUCCAAUUAAAAUGUAUUUCAUAUUUCAACAGCCCAGUGUAAUUUUUAAUCAUAGAGUAAUCCAUGCUUCGUGUAGAAAAUGUGGGAAAUACAGGAAGACUUCCAGAAGAAAAUAAAAAUAACCUAUAAUUAUGUAAACCAGAGAGAAUCGGGAGAUAUUUUUUUAGUGUUUGUUUCUUUGUGCUUAUGUCUCUAUGUGUUUUUUUGCAAGUAGGAUCUGCGUAUAAAUAAUUUUUGAGUUCUCAUUUUCUUUCUGUAAUAAUAAAUAUGGUAUUUAAUGGUCGCAUUGUAA